rnacentral:rRNA from 1 species
AAAACAUCGCCUCCCGCAAUAAAAUUAAAUAUAGGAGGUCCAACCUGCCCAGUGACUACAAGUUUAACGGCCGCGGUAUCUUGACCGUGCAAAGGUAGCGCAAUCACUUGUCUUUUAAAUAAAGACCUGUAUGAAUGGUUAAACGAAGGCUUAACUGUCUCCCUUUUCAAGUCAGUGAAAUUGAUCUAUCCGUGCAGAAGCGGGUAUAAUAAUACAAGACGAGAAGACCCUUUGGAGCUUAAGGCAUAAAACUCAAUCACGUCAAACAACUCAACAAAAAGUAACUAUCAUAAACCUUAUGACAAAUGAGACAUCUGCCUUCGGUUGGGGCGACCACGGAGGAAAAAAAAGCCUCCGAGUGGAAUGGGGUAAUUCCCUAAACUAAGAGACACAUCUCUAAGUCACAAAACAUUUGACCAUAAUGAUCCGGCUAACCAUAGCCGAUCAACGAACCAAGUUACCCUAGGGAUAACAGCGCAAUCCUCUCCCAGAGUCCAUAUCAAAAAGAGGGUUUACGACCUCGAUGUUGGAUCAGGACAUCCUGAUGGUGCAGCCGCUAUUAAGGGUUCGUUUGUUCAACGAUUAAAGUCCUACGUGA